rnacentral:rRNA from 1 species
ACCUGAAACCGUGUACGUACAAGCAGUGGGAGCACGCUUAGGCGUGUGACUGCGUACCUUUUGUAUAAUGGGUCAGCGACUUAUAUUCUGUAGCAAGGUUAACCGAAUAGGGGAGCCGAAGGGAAACCGAGUCUUAACUGGGCGUUAAGUUGCAGGGUAUAGACCCGAAACCCGGUGAUCUAGCCAUGGGCAGGUUGAAGGUUGGGUAACACUAACUGGAGGACCGAACCGACUAAUGUUGAAAAAUUAGCGGAUGACUUGUGGCUGGGGGUGAAAGGCCAAUCAAACCGGGAGAUAGCUGGUUCUCCCCGAAAGCUAUUUAGGUAGCGCCUCGUGAAUUCAUCUCCGGGGGUAGAGCACUGUUUCGGCAAGGGGGUCAUCCCGACUUACCAACCCGAUGCAAACUGCGAAUACCGGAGAAUGUUAUCACGGGAGACACACGGCGGGUGCUAACGUCCGUCGUGAAGAGGGAAACAACCCAGACCGCCAGCUAAGGUCCCAAAGUCAUGGUUAAGUGGGAAACGAUGUGGGAAGGCCCAGACAGCCAGGAUGUUGGCUUAGAAGCAGCCAUCAUUUAAAGAAAGCGUAAUAGCUCACUGGUCGAGUCGGCCUGCGCGGAAGAUGUAACGGGGCUAAACCAUGCAC